UUUACAUAUAGGCUAUAUUAAUGACUUCAUUUCAUUCUAAAAUACUUUAUUUCAUUCAUAUCUUUUAUUUAUUGGAGACUCUUUUGGUUGAAGGAAGCAGCAUAAGUUUAUUUUAUCAUAAGUUUAUUUUAUGUUUAAUUUAAAAUGUUAUUAAAAAGUAACCUGAGCAGGUGUACAAGUCUGAACUGUCGAUGCUGCACUUAGUCCAAUGUGUAAAAGGGAAAUUA